rnacentral:rRNA from 1 species
AUUGAACGCUGGCGGCAGGCCUAACACAUGCAAGUCGAGCGAGCGGCGGACGUGUGAGAAAUGUAGGGAGCUCUGCCUUAUGGAGGGGGAUAACUACUGGAAACGGUAGCUAAUACCGCAUACCAUCAAAUGAACCCAUAUGGUAUUAGCUUGUAGGUGAGGUAACGGCUGACCUAGGAGACGAUCCCUAGCUGGUAUGAGAGGAUGAUCAGCCACACUGGGACUGAGACACGGCCCAGACUCCUACGGGAGGCAGCAGUGGGGAAUAUUGCACAAUGGGCGCAAGCCUGAUGCAGCCAUGCCGCGUGUAUGAAGAAGGCCUUCGGGUUGUAAAGUACUUUCAGUCGGGAGGCGUUACCGACAGAAGAAGCACCGGCUAACUCCGUGCCAGCAGCCGCGGUAAUAC